GGCACGGCGCUUUGACGCGCUGCCGCCCCGAGCGGGCGCUCCGCCAGGGCGGAGGGGCAAGAGGGGGGGCGUGAAGGCUUCCGACGGGGCGUACCGCGACCCCCCUCAACUUUAGGUCCCCUCAUUUUAGCUCUGCCCAUCAACCCUUCGCGGGAGUUGAUACUGCUUGCAAACUUCAGAAGGAAAAUAGGCAGAAGCUCACUCUGGAGAACACUGCUCUGGUGAAGGAAUUGUAGAAGUAACACUUUCUCAGUUCAGAAAGCAGCGUUCUCCAUCUUGCUCCUGAACAAAGGAAGAUUAACAACACUGUGUUUCCAUGCGUGUUUGUGUGUUCUUGACUGACAGUCUUCAGUGUGAGCACUGCUGCACAGGACCAAACAGACUUUCCAGCUGGCUUAUGGAGUACAUGAAGCUGCAGCAAGGCUAAAUUUCCUGCAGGAAUGCCAGCCCAAUUCCUUCUACCAACCCACUCUAUGAAGAGGAGUGAUCUGGAAGAUCUCUUGAGGAAAGGAGACCAAACAACUCCUUACCCAUAUUGCCAUGGAGACAUCAACACAAACAGAGCACCUCCUUCUUCCACAGUCUCCAGUGGUUCCCAGCUCCAGGGCCAUACAGUGAGAGAUGGAGCAGACCAGAAGUUCAGAUUACUCAUGUGGGGCUCCUUGCAAUCCAUUUCCUGAAAAUUCCGCUUCACCUGGAGUACCGCGUCCAAAUAUGGAAUCCACAGUACAGGAGAGAUGUAGACCUGUCAGAGCACGUCCAGAGAAGGGCUGCAGAAAUGAUCCAAGGGAUGGAACACCUCUCCUAUGAGGACAGGUCGAGAGGGCUGGGGCUGUUCUCUGGAGAAGAGAAGGCUCCAAGGUGACCUGAGAGCAGCCUUUCUAGUGUUGAUGAAGGACAUCACUCUCAGCAGCUCCAGGUCAAGGACCAGCAGUGCACUUGCGACUACCUGACAGGAAUAAGACAGGAAUGUAAGAAAUCUGAAAUAAGCAUACCUUUGUUCUUCUUGUAUAAUGACUGCCCCAAAAAUGCUGGCACAAAGACAUUUAAAAAAAUGAAGACAGCUUAAGAAGUCUGCAGUGCUUUAAGACUGAUUCCUACUCAGUAGACUACAGGACCAACAGGCAUUUUACUGCUCAGAGACAGUAAUCAAGAUGUCAAGAAUGUUAACUUGCUUCAAUAAAUAUUGCUUUUAUUACUACAUCUAUUGUACUUAUUUUAAAUUAAUUCUUAACUUGGCCUAUUUUCCAAACCAUUUAACUGUAACAGAGUAGACAAAGGCCUCUAGCCAGGAAUUAGUUGAAAUCUUCUUUCCAACCAGUGGUAGGCAUGGAGAAGGGAAGAGUGAAUUCUUCACAGCCCUUGGAUAUAACUUUAUUCUUAUCAGUUAAGGCAGAUAUUUAUUAAGAUAUGAAAAUAUCUCUUAGUGUGCAAUCCAAGAAUGAACCAUAUUUUUAUAAAUCUGACCUUCAGUAGCUUCUUAAGAUGAACUGACACACCAAAUAAACUUUUACCUCCAGCCAUCUUACUGUUGACACAUCUUUGUUAGCUGCCCUAUCUCAAACAUACAUCUUUCUUUUAACACGAUAUGAGCAGAAGUACAAUCAGGAAUAAAAAAAAAUAGCCAUUAACAGGGAACCACUGGAAGAUCCAAAAGAGAGCAGUUUUACUUUCCAGUUCACUCUCUCUUACAGCACACCAGAGCUCAGACAAACGACCAUAAUGCAGUUUACCUCAGCUAAGCCAGUAGUCAAUGGCUACCUAAGUAUACACACCUAACCAGCAGCAACACAAGUUAAUUAAAAUUCUUAGGGCUUCAAUGAAAUCAGAUAAAGCCAAAUGAAAUUACAUUCCAUUUAACACAAGUGCGUGCAUCACAUUUUGCCACCACUAAAUCCAUGAGCAUAAUGCCAUAGAAUGUUGGCUCCUCAGAAGACAGCUCUGCAACCUUGCUGAAAGUUCGGGUAUUCAGAGACUUCAGACAAACCCAAGUCUCCUCCAUCCACCCUGCAAACCCUACCAGCAUUCUUUCUCUUUUUCCUGGAUGCCCCACAUCCAUCUCUUUACCAACUGUCCACACCUCAUGCUCACCAUUAUUCAUCCCUUACCCAGUUUAUACUAACUCACAUCUUCCUGGCUUGUUGGGACUGAGAAAUAGAGUAUCACAGAAUCACAGAAUUAUAGAAUCCUUUGAGUAGGAGGGAACCUUCAAAGGUCACCUAGUUCCACCCCUCUGCAAUGAUCAGGGACAUGCAUAGCUAGAUCAGGUUGCUCAAAGCCCCAUCCAGCCUGGCCUUGAAUGUCUCAAGGAACAGGGCAUCUAUCACAUUUCCGGGCAACAUGUUCCAGAGCAAUGGCCCUUGAUCAUUAGGAGUAAAGGGGAGAGAUACAAGGAAUGAGAAGGUCUGGCUCAGCACAGCAUAACAAGACUCCUGGACAGCCAUAGGGUUUGUGCAGCUGGCAGCGAGCAUAUCUCUGACAUUGCCUCCAUUAUUCUUAGCAAUGGCAAACCCUCUGCACUGCUUCUGAGCUCCAGCAGGUCACAUACACAACCCAGCCAGCUUAAAGACAGGCUUGUUCUAACUUAUCUCCUCUGGAAGUGUAAAAUAUACAAGUAAUUACAAUCGGAUGUUGAUAAAAAGUUUUUGUGUGACCAUUAUCGUUAUAGUGAAGUGACCCAAAACUCUGGGCUCAGAUACUUUCUGCCACGCAUUCUUCUUUGAUGGCAGAGAUAAAAUUUGCAGUCUAAUUUGGGAAAUGCUUAUUUAAAUUGUGUGUAGUUACAGAGAUGUACAAAGGUCAGUAAAAUUAAAUACUUCAAAAAAAUAAAGAAAUUGAUCCAUUUGUUUUUCUUAAGUGUCCUUGUUAUUUAGACAUGAUGGUAUAUUUUUCUAAAAAAAAAAAAACCUUUUCAAGAAAGCUGUAAUUAUCUUGAAAUACAUUUUCUGAUGUAUGAUAAGGAGUGGAUUAUCUUGAAAAUGGGAUGUUGGCUUCAUUUACAUAUCAGAUCCGAUUCACUAUUAAACUGUCUUUGGUUUUGCUUCCUGGAUGCUUAAUAAGAGAGAACAUUGUCCCCUUAGAAGGACUUGAUUUUAUGAUUUAUCAAGAGUUAUUAACUCCCACUGAGGUCAAAACUAUCACACAAGGCCAGAUCCCAGCAAUAUCUUAAAGGGAACUGGAAUAGUUCUGUCAAGGCCUUGCUGCAUUAGAAACAAGAUUAAGGAAAAUGUGGCUUCCAAAGGGGGAUAAUUUUCAUCAAACUAUAUAUCAUCUUGGUCAGUUUUUUCAGCUGAAUUCUGCCAUUCUAUCUUUGGGGAGUUAGGUUCACCUCUGUCAAAGGCAAAGUUGGGAUGGAUUUGUUCUGCUGUGUUAGCCUGAGCAGCAAAGAAAAGUUUUCAGCUUUCUUGGAUGCCACAGCAGAGCUGGUGGUUACUCUAAUACAGAAAAAUCACAUGCCAUCACAAAAGUCUCAUAGAUCACUGGCCCUGAACUACAUAAGCAUCAGGAGCAGAAGAGUGAUACUGCAAACUGCCCAGAUACCCCUUGUUUUGCAUUAUUCAUUGCUUACCCCGCUUUCAGAAGAUGUAAUUCUGCUGCUCCUCUCUGACAGACUGGAGACCAGGCCUGGUUUGGAACAGCCUGGGAAUGAGACAGUAGCACUGGGCCACCAAACUGAGCUCCCACAGAGAUCAUGCAAAGUGCUGAGCCAUGAUUCUUCAUGUGGGGACAGAACAAACAAAACCCACUGACAUUAGUUCCAGCAUUUGCUAAUUCAAUACCUCUGCUUCCUGCCAUAGCAAAUCCAGGCCCUAUGGGUUUCUGCUGUGCUUUCCUCAUCCCAGUGACAGUCUCACAUACUGCCAGGCAACUAUUCACAGAACCUUUAUUGUUUCUGCUCCAAGGGCAAGCUGCAGUGAGGUCACUGUCAGAUCAGUAUCCUCAUCCCCAAUUUAAAUACAGAACAUUGUUUCCAACAAGCUAGCUCAGCUUUAUUAACAGAAAUUUAUUUUCACUAGGAUCUUUCUAAUUCUGAUCUUCAGACUGGCAGCCAACUAAGUGACGAGUGCUUAUGGACUGUGGGAUUGGUUACAGGCACUGCGUCUCAUCUCUUGUGUAGAUACAUAUAUAAAAAGAGCACAGUUUACUUGGGCCUUAAUAUCUGCCACCAAAUAAGCAUCUCACACUGAUAAGGGAUAAUACUGUAAUAGAAAUGGUUCCAGAAAGGUGAGGGAGGUGAAAUUAAUAGAUGUGAGCUCAGCACAGUGCCAUAUUUUAUGUCUGCUGCUGAGGUGGAAGGAUGUUCCUGAACCAGUUGUUCCUCCAAUGCCUGCAGCUCUGUGCUGUGCCAGCACUCACGCAACUAAGGGUGACAUAUUUCUCCUGUACAAUUCAGCUGUUCUGUUUGAAAUCAUACUGUCUUGAUAGAAAGGAAAAUAAAUAACCCACAAGAUAUAAAUAUCCCAAAAUAAUUUGGGAUAAAGAAUAUACAAUGGAGAUAGGAGAUUCCCACCCUGGGGCAGAGGCUGCUCUAGCUCCACCAGCACACUGCACGGUCAUAAAUUAUCUCAUCACUGUGAUCAGAAGCUCAUUUUCAGGUCUGAAGAUUCUCUCCUUUGCUCUGGAAAGGCUCUCACAUGCUGACUCACAUGAGAGAGUCAAAACCCAACAAGCCUCAGCCCUUCUGAAGGAAACUAGCCCAAGGUACAGAACUAGCUGCAAUGUGACCUGGCUUGCUUCACAGCAACGUGUGAUGCAAAUACCAUUACUCGUAAAGCUCAGAGGUUAGCCACAGGUUGUGCAGGGCUGUAACAAAAACGUUACAGGGAACAGUCAUGCUUUGCUUGCUUGAUGGGAGGUCCCUCAUCUGCACGUGAAGGGCAAGUCGCACACAGCUCUCUCCACAAAUGUGAGUGAAAGGAGAUGAGUUGCAUGUAACUCACUGCCUCUCACCUUUCUGUACUGCUCCAGAGCUCAGCAUGGAUGUCAGAUGCUGUCAUCCUGUUUUAAAACUGUAUGGAAAGGUGUAACCAGCUGGAAAUCCAGCUGUGUUCAAGGAGAGGCAUUGCCAAACUGUCAGCAUCCUUUCUGCCUGCCAGGCCCCACACACCCAGCUUGGUUUUUAAUUGUAGAAACAUCCUUCCUGUCUGAAUGGGAAAAUGUGGACAAUAGCUCACACAGGCAUUGUACUCCCACGUUCCCCUUCUCCAUCACACAGUGACAGAAAACAAUGCUGAGAUUUCCUGUGAGUUGUACAGUUAUGCUAAAGUCUUAAAGCAUAAAUACCACUUCUGAAUAGUAAGGCAGAAGUGCAGACCUCUUAAAUUUUAUUUUCAUAGACCAUUAAUUUUCUCAAACGUUUUAUUAUAAGUCAGGACUUUGGUGAUCCUUAUUAUCCCCAUUACAACUCCAAUCUUUAGGCAGGUGUAGCUCCAAAUUUGUUCUUCAAGAUAAGAGGGGGAGGAAGCUGUAUCAGAGAUAGAGAUAUAUAUAUAUAUAAAUUUACACACAUAUACAAUUUAGGUAGCACUCAAGACCACAGUGUAAUGGCUGGAGCUAGCAGUAGCUUGAAGAGGAGGAAGACAAGCACCCCUCAUUAGAGAUGCCAGUCAAACAAUAAAAACAGAAAAAGAUAGGAUAGAGACCCAGGCACUAAGGGAAUGCAGUAUAUCAAAAUAGCCUGGAGAAGUGAUAGGCCAAACUCACAACCAUCUGAUACUGACAGUUUAAGAAAAUAUACCUGACUGAAGUAGAUUUAUUUUUCUCCCUUUAUUUUUCUACUCCUCCAUUUUAGUCAUCUACUUAAGCAUCCUUCAGACCUUAUACCUAGGCUUUUGUGGUAAAAGUUUUAUGAUUACCAACCUCUUGAUUACCUUAGCACCCAACAAAUAGGAACCCUUGAAAGCACACUAUCAACAGCUUUUCCCCAAUUGCUUAUGGAGAGGUCAAGUUCUUCCCCUGGCUUUCUGGUCAAAAAAAAAAAAAAAACAGUGCUAAUUUUAACUUUU